GUAGCAGUAUCACAAAUAGAGAAAUUAUAAGAUGUUAUCAUAUAAAUACCUUGUAAAGCAAUCACUUACCUCUUUCUUUUAUUCUUAGGCCUGUUUGGAUCAAGGGUGGCUAUAUAAGUAGGACAAUUCCUUUUCAAUGAUCUAGCUUUUUACAGAAGAAGCACUCUACCUGGCUCUUAUCAACUUUUGACGGUUUGCUCUGUUUG
rnacentral:lncRNA from 1 species